ensembl:lncRNA
UCUAAAGCUUUGGGGCUAACACAGAAAAAGACCCGUCCCCUUUAGCAGCUAGCCGGGACUCAGGAAUAGUGAGUAAAUUAUAAGUCACCGCUCCUCAGUGCCGUGCUCAGUGGUGAUCAGAGAGUGGAGCGAUGAGCGUUACCUGGUGAUCAGAGAGCGAGCACAGCGGCCAGUGAGGCAAAUUAGCAAAGAGCGAGGGAACUAUGGAGAAGAGAGGGGCGAGGAAACCUUAACGGUGACGAUCUCCUCCGACAGGAGAAAGAGGCCUCCUCCUCUCCGGACCUCCCCCCCCCACAUCCGGUCUCCACCUCGUCGCAAGAGAAAGAACAUCUGAGACGGACGGUGAGCAGAUGGAUGGAGACGAAUGAGGAGGCGAAUGACCCGGAGUUGGUCGCAGAGUGCGAGAUGUCAGGGCUGAAAGCGAGCCAGACCGCCCCAGACCAAGGCCAGACGGCUCCGGACCAAGGCCAGACCAACCCGGACCAAGGCAAGACCAACCUGGACCAAGGCCAGACCAACCCGGACCAAGGCCAGACCAACUCGGACCAAGGCCAGACCAACCCGGACCAAGGCCAGACCAACCCGGACCAAGGCCAGACCAACCCGGACCAAGGCCAGACGCCCGAUGAACCUUAACCCAUAGCAGCAACACACAGCAGCCACUAUGGAAGGACCUGGCCCAGGUCAUGGGGAACCUAAAGGUACGGGUGAAGGGCCUCAGACCCAAGGACCCUCGGACCCCGGAUCCAAGCCAGCUCCCCAAUGUACCUGACAGGCCCCCCACAAAGGAGCUGGCCCAGGUCAUGGGGAACCUGAGGUUCCGGGUGAAGGGCCUCAAAAAGCAGAGGGCUGAACCAGGAACCACCUCCCGGCUUGAAGAGGAGAGGCCUUUGGGCCGCCCUUCAGGCCGGAGCCCCUUCCCAGGCCAGACCGCCCCGGACCCAAGCCAGAUCCCUGAGGAACCUGACAGGGCCCCAAGAAAGGACCUGUCCCAGGUCAUGGGGAACGUGAGGGUCCGGGUGAGGGCACUAAGAGAGCAGAGGGUUGAAACAGCUACCACCGCCCUGCCAGAUCAGGAGGAGGUGAAGCCUUUGGGCCGCCCUUCAAGCCAGAACCCCUUCAGGCGUAUUAAGAUGGCCUGGGAUGAAACCAAGGCCGUCGUCCCCACCGACGCCCCCC